rnacentral:rRNA from 1 species
UACGGAGGGUGCAAGCGUUAUCCGGAUUCACUGGGUUUAAAGGGCGCGUAGGAGGGCAGGUAAGUCAGUGGUGAAAUCUCCGGGCUUAACUCGGAAACUGCCGUUGAUACUAUCUGUCUUGAAUGCCGUGGAGAUGAGCGGAAUAUGUCAUGUAGCGGUGAAAUGCUUAGAUAUGACAUAGAACACCAAUGGCGAAGGCAGCUCGUUACACGAACAUUGACUCUGAGGCUCGAAAGCGUGGGGAUCAAACAGG